rnacentral:rRNA from 1 species
UCCAGACUCCUACGGGAGGCAGCAGUGGGGAAUAUUGCACAAUGGGGGAAACCCUGAUGCAGCGACGCCGCGUGAGUGAAGAAGUAUUUCGGUAUGUAAAGCUCUAUCAGCAGGGAAGAAAAUGACGGUACCUGACUAAGAAGCCCCGGCUAACUACGUGCCAGCAGCCGCGGUAAUACGUAGGGGGCAAGCGUUAUCCGGAUUUACUGGGUGUAAAGGGAGCGUAGACGGCAUGGCAAGUCAGAUGUGAAAGCCCGGGGUUCAACCCCGGGACUGCAUUUGAAACUGUCAGGCUGGAGUGCAGGAGAGGUAAGUGGAAUUCCUAGUGUAGCGGUGAAAUGCGUAGAUAUUAGGAGGAACACCAGUGGCGAAGGCGGUCUGCUGGACAGCAACUGACGGUGAGGCGCGAAAGCGUGGGGAGCAAACAGGAUUAGAUACCCCCGUA